rnacentral:misc_RNA from 1 species
GAAAUGCGAUAACUAGUGUGAAUUGCAGAAUUCCGUGAAUCAUCGAGUCUUUGAACGCACAUUGCCCCCCCUGGUAUUCCGGGGGGCAUGCCUGUCCGAGCGUCAUUGCUGCCCAUCAAGCACGGCUUGUGUGUUGGGUCGUCGUCCCCUCUCCGGGGGGGACGGGCCCCAAAGGCAGCGGCGGCACCGCGUCCGAUCCUCGAGCGUAUGGGGCUUUGUCACCCGCUCUGUAGGCCCGGCCGGCGCUUGCCGAACGCAAAUCAAUCUUUUUCCAGGUUGACCUCGGAUCAGGUAGGGAUACCCGCUGAACUUAAGC